GACGAACCGUGCGAACGUUGUUCGGAAUCACUGGGCUUAAAGGGCGCGUAGGCGGGUCUGCAAGUCCGGGGUGAAAGCCCCCAGCUCAACUGGGGAAGUGCCUUGGAAACUGCGGGUCUCGAGGGAGGUAGGGGCAUGUGGAACUUCCGGUGGAGCGGUGAAAUGCGUUGAUAUCGGAAGGAACGCCGGUGGCGAAAGCGACGGACUGGAUCUCUUCUGACGCUGAGGCGCGAAAGCUAGGGGAGCAAACGGG
rnacentral:rRNA from 1 species